rnacentral:rRNA from 1 species
CCCUAUGGGGUGCAGCAGUCGGGAAACUUCUGCAAUGCACGCAAGUGUGACAGAGCAAGCCAGAGUGAUUCUCUAUAAUUGAGAAUCUUUUGUGAAAUGUAAAAAGUUUUACGAAUAAGGACUGGGUAAGACUGGUGCCAGCCGCCGCGGUAAUACCAGCAGUCCAAGUAGCAGCCAUGUUUAUUGGGUCUAAAACAUCCGUAGCUUGUCUUGUAAGUCUCUUGUGAAAUCUGGCAUCUCAAGUGUCAGGCGUGCAAGAGAUACUGCAAGGCUAGAGACCGGGAGACGUAAGGAGUACGGUUAGGGUAGCGGUAAAAUGCGUUGAUCCUUUCUGGACUAACGAUAGCGAAGGCACCUUACGAGAACGGAUCUGACAGUGAGGGAUGAAGGCUAGGGUCGCAAAACGGAUUAGAUACCCGUGUAGUCCUAGCAGUAAACUCUGCACACUAAACAUCAGUACCUCCUCGAGAGGUAUUGGUGCUGAAGGGAAGCCGUAGAGUGUGCUACCUGGGAAGUAUAGUCGCAAGGCCGAAACUUAAAGGAAUAGGCGGCGGGGUACUACAACCAGUGACGCGUGCGGUUCAAUUAGAUUAUACACCGUGAACCUCACCAGGAUCGACAGCAGAAUGAAGGUCAGUCUAAAGGGCUUACCUGACACGCUGAGAGGAGGUGCAUGGCC